rnacentral:rRNA from 1 species
AUUGAACGCUGGCGGCAGGCCUAACACAUGCAAGUCGAGCGAGCGGCGGACGGGUGAGUAAUGUAUGGGGAUCUGCCCGAUAGAGGGGGAUAACUACUGGAAACGGUGGCUAAUACCGCAUACUAUCGGAUGAACCCAGAUGGGAUUAGCUAGUAGGUGGGGUAAAGGCUCACCUAGGCGACGCUCCCUAGCUGGUCUGAGAGGAUGACCAGCCACCCUGGGACUGAGACACGGCCCAGACUCCUACGGGAGGCAGCAGUGGGGAAUAUUGCACCAUGGGCGCAAGCCUGAUGCAGCCAUGCCGCGUGUAUGAAGAAGGCCUUCGGGUUGUAAAGUACUUUCAGCGGGGAGGCGUUACCCGCAGAAGAAGCACCGGCUAACUCCGUGCCAGCAGCCGCGGUAAUUC